UCGCCUUACGGGGUGCAGCAGGCGCGAAAACUUUGCAAUACACGAAAGUGUGACAGGGCUAUCCCGAGUGCCAUCCGCUGAGGAAGGCUUUUACCCAGUCUAGAACGCUGGGGGAAUAAGGAGAGGGCAAGUCUGGUGUCAGCCGCCGCGGUAAUACCAGCUCUCCGAGUGGUGUGGAUGUUUAUUGGGCCUAAAGCAUCCGUAGCUGGCUAAGUUAGUCCCUUGUUAAAUCCACCGAAUUAAUCGUUGGAUUGCGGGGGAUACUGCUUGGCUAGGGGACGAGAGAGGCAGACGGUAUUUCCGGGGUAGGGGUGAAAUCCUAUAAUCCCGGGAAGACCACCAGUGGCGAAGGCUGUCUGCUAGAACGCGCCCGACGGUGAGGGAUGAAAGCUGGGGGAGCGAACCGGAUUAGAUACCCGGGUAGUCCCAGCUGUAAACGAUGCAGGCUAGGUGUUUGGACGGCCACGUGCCGUUCUAGUGCCGCAGGGAAGCUGUUAAGCCUGCCGCCUGGGGAGUACGAUCGCAAGAUUGAAACUUAAAGGAAUUGGCGGGGGAGCACCACAAGGGGUGAAGCUUGCGGUUUAAUUGGAGUCAACGCCGGAAAUCUCACCGGGAGCGACAGCAGUAUGAAGGCCAGAUUAAAGGUCUUGCCAGACGAGCUGAGAGGAGGUGCAUGGCCGUCGCCAGGUUCGUGCCGUGAGGUGUCCUGUUAAGUCAGGCAACGAUCGAGACCCCGCGUCCUCUGUUGCGACUAGCUUUGAGCUGG
rnacentral:rRNA from 1 species